GUGAGGAAUAUUGGUCAAUGGGCGGGAGCCUGAACCAGCCAAGUCGCGUGAAGGAAGAAGGAUCUAUGGUUCGUAAACUUCUUUUGCAGGGGAAUAAAGUGCAGGACGUGUCCUGUUUUGUAUGUACCCUGAGAAUAAGGAUCGGCUAACUCCGUGCCAGCAGCCGCGGUAAUACGGAGGAUCCGAGCGUUAUCCGGAUUUAUUGGGUUUAAAGGGUGCGUAGGUGGUUUGAUAAGUCAGCGGUGAAAGUUUGCAGCUUAACUGUAAAAAUGCCGUUGAAACUGUCGGACUUGAGUGUAAAUGGGGUAGGCGGAAUGCGUGGUGUAGCGGUGAAAUGCAUAGAUAUCACGCAGAACUCCGAUUGCGAAGGCAGCUUACUAAGCUACAACUGACACUGAAGCACGAAAGCGUGGGGAUCAAACAGGAUUAGAUACCCCUGUAGUCC
rnacentral:rRNA from 1 species